rnacentral:rRNA from 1 species
CCUACGGGGUGCAGCAGUAGGGAAUCUUCCACAAUGGGCGAAAGCCUGAUGGAGCAACGCCGCGUGGGUGAAGAAGGUCUUCGGAUCGUAAAACCCUGUUGUUAGAGAAGAAAGUGCGUGAGAGUAACUGUUCACGUUUCGACGGUAUCUAACCAGAAAGCCACGGCUAACUACGUGCCAGCAGCCGCGGUAAUACGUAGGUGGCAAGCGUUAUCCGGAUUUAUUGGGCGUAAAGGGAACGCAGGCGGUCUUUUAAGUCUGAUGUGAAAGCCUUCGGCUUAACCGGAGUAGUGCAUUGGAAACUGGGAGACUGGAGUGCAGAAGAGGAGAGUGGAACUCCAUGUGUAGCGGUGAAAUGCGUAGAUAUAUGGAAGAACACCAGUGGCGAAAGCGGCUCUCUGGUCUGUAACUGACGCUGAGGUUCGAAAGCGUGGGUAGCAAACAGGAUUAGAUACCCCUGUAGUC